rnacentral:rRNA from 1 species
AUUCCAGCUCCAAUAGCGUAUAUUAAAGUUGUUGCAGUUAAAAAGCUCGUAGUCGGAUUUUGGCAUCAUGCCGAACUGUCAGCCGAUUGGUUUGUACGGUUUGGCGGGUGCUCUCCUUCCGGAGGCUCGUUUCCUCUUUCAUUAGAGGGUUCGAUGGUUCCGGGUCUUUUACUUUGAAAAAAUUAGAGUGUUCAAAGCAGGCCUAUGCUCUGAAUAGGUUAGCAUGGAAUAAUAAAAUAGGACUUUGGUUCUAUUUUGUUGGUUUCUAGGACCGAAGUAAUGAUUAAUAGGGACAGUUGGGGGCAUUCAUAUUCCAAUGUCAGAGGUGAAAUUCUUGGAUUAUCGGAAGAUGAACUUCUGCGAAAGCAUCUGCCAAGGAUGUUUUCAUUGAUCAAGAACGAAAGUUAGGGGAUCGAAGACGAUCAGAUACCGUCGUAGUCUUAACCAUAAACUAUGCCGACUAGGGAUGUGAUGGCGUUAUUUUAUACGACCCAUCAUGCACCUUAUGAGAAAUCAAAGUCUAUGGGUUCCGGGGGGAGUAUGGUCGCAAGGCUGAAACUUAAAGGAAUUGACGGAAGGGCACCACCAGGAGUGGAGCCUGCGGCUUAAUUUGACCCAACACGGGAAAACUUACCAGGUCCAGACAUAGUUAGGAUUGACAGAUUGAGAGCUCUUUCUUGAUUCUAUGGGUGGUGGUGCAUGGCCGUUCUUAGUUGGUGGAGUGAUUUGUCUGGUUAAUUCCGAUAACGAACGAGACCUUAACCUGCUAAAUAGUAAUGCUAUGAUUUCUUCAUGGUAGCGACUUCUUAGAGGGACUAUCGGUGUCUAACCGAUGGAAGUUUGAGGCAAUA